GAUGAACCUGCCGACCAGGGAGCAGUGUGAGGACUGGAGUUCAGCUCAGGUGGCAAACUUACUGCGCCAGAAUCAAAUGCAAGAAUGUGCUGCAACUGUUGAAAGAAUGAGGAUUAAUGGACAGAGGUUUAUGAAUCUGUCUGACAGUGAUUUGAGCAGG